ACCACCGGGACCACCUCCAGGGACACCAGGGCCACCUCCAGGGCCACCGGGACCACCGGGACCACCUCCAGGGACACCAGGGCCACCUCCAGGGCCACCGAGGCCGCCACCGGGCCCCAGGCCGGCUGGGCAGAGGGAGCUGGCGGCAACUGGAUGGCGACUCACCCCACGUCUACUGGAAACACGGAGGUGUUUCAUUUGGCCCUGGUGGUGUGUUGAUGUGCUGCACCAGAAACAGCUCACAGAAAUGAUGUCCCUCGAGAUAUCUGACAGCACUCAAAUCUAUGCUGCCUUUGUGGUAUACCUGGACCUCUUGGAAGGGAGAAACUGGUAUGAAGUGAAGCAUGUUGGGGUAGCAGAACUGCAGCUUGUGUGUUUGCACGCACGUGAGAAAGAAGGUGAAGGUCUCCAAGUGAUGGUGCCAGUACCUGUGCACGUCUCCUUGAGCCAUGAGAGGAUAAGAGAGAUCCUGGAGAAAGCAUCUCUCCCACCAGAUGAUCCAAACACCCCGCUGUCAGUUACCUUGGCCAUAGUUGAGACAGAUUCCACAACAGUCUACUAUAAAGUGACUGAUGGCUUUGUGAUGCCAGAUCCUCCUGACGAUACCAAAGAUGUGGACAAUAAACAGUGGAGAAAGAAAAGAAAGAAGCUUUUCAAAUGAUUUAAGACAAACAGACUCUUCUUGAACUUCUGUCCUCAAACCUAAACAAAUCCAGGAACUUAUGUAUGAGUGGGAAGAAUUUGGCACGUCCCUGGUGUGGAUCCUGCCUCAGCACCCCCAGCUACAGAUUCCCAGCAAGCAAAGCAACACACAGGAUCCCACUUUAUUUCAACCAACAGCAAAUGCCAGGCUGGCAAAUAACCCCUAUGCAGAAACAAAUAUAAUUGUGAGCAACUAGGGUUUCCUAACUCUUCAAAAAUACCUGCAGCUGCACCUUCUGUUGUGAGUAUCCCAUGGAGUCAAUGCUUUUUCCAUGUUCUUUCCCUCCCACUCUGGUGCCACCAAGGAGCCCUGAACUCAGCCCCUCCCUUGAGCAAACCAGCCCAUUUGCUGGGGUGAAUUAAUGAGUGCUCCAGCUCCUGAUUAGCCCCAUGCUGUGUGUUGUGUCCUCAGCACCUCGCUGACAUGAGUAAUUGCUCUGGUGCUUUGUCAUCUCGUUAAUUAUUCUUUGCAUCACCACUGUUAGAAGCUACUGGCUUCUCCCCGUGUUUCUUGUCUGGCCAGUGAGCUCAGGUUUUCCUACAGGAUCAUAAACCGAGGUUCCUACAGGAAUUCCUACAGGAAUCGAGUGCAGAAUCAUCGAUCCCAGGAACCUCAAUCUAGCCCAGAGCAAUUGAUCCCAGGAUCUUCAAUUGACCCCAGAAUCACAGAUCCCAGGAACCUCAAUCGAGCCCAGAAUAAUCGAUCUCAAGACUAUCAAUUGAUGAUGCCAGAAUCAUCGAUCCCAGGAACCUCAAUCUAGCCCAGAGUCACUGAUCCCAGGAGCUUCAAUUUAGCCCAGAAUCAUUAAUCUCAAGAACAUCAAUUGAUGAUGCCAGAAUCAUCGAUCCCAGGAACCUGAAUCAAGCCCAGAGUCACUGAUCCCAGGAUCUUCAAUUGACCCCAGAAUCACAGAUCCCAGGAACCUCAAUCGAGCACAGAAUCAUCGAUCUCAAGACUAUCAAUUGAUGAUGCCAGAAUCAUCGAUCCCAGGAACCUCAAUCUAGCCCAGAGUCACUGAUCCCAGGAGCUUCAGUUGAGCCCAGAAUCAUCGAUCUCAAGAACAUCAAUUGAUGAUGCCAGAAUCAUCGAUCCCAGGAACCUCAAUCGAGCCCAGAGUCACUGAUCCCAGGAACUUCAAUUGAGCCCAGAAUCACAGAUCCCAGGAACCUCAAUUGAGCCCAGAGUCAUUGAUCUCAAGAACAUCAAUCGACCAGAAUCAUCAAUUUCAGGAAUCUCAGUCAAACCCAGAGUCAUGGAUCCAAGGGAUAUAAGUCAUCGAUACCAGGAGCCUCAAUCAAACCCAGAAUCACUGAUCCCAGGAGCCUCGAUUGAACAAGGAAUCAUCGAUACCAGGAACAUCAAUUGAUCCUAGAAUAAUGGGUCCCAGGAACCUCAAUUGAGCCCAGAAUCACAGAUCCCAGAAACAUCAGUUGAGCCCAGGAACUUGGGUCUCAGGAUCGCCAAUAUAUUCCAGUGUUUGAUCCCGGGACCAGAAAUGAAUCAGGGAAACACCAGCUGUUGCCAGGCUUGUCCACUGAUCCCAGCAUCUCCCAUCGCCAGGUUCAUCGGUCGAUCCUGGGCUCAGCUGACUCCAGAAUCUUCCGCAGAUUCCUGAAUCACCCGUCGGUCACCGAACCACGCCCCGGUCACAGCCUGUCCAUGCCCACCCCUGCCCCACCACACGCCCGAGCAGCCCCUGCCUGACGGCUGCCCCGGGACAGGAGGCAAGCAGGGAACCCACUGAAGAAAGCACUUCGUUGGCCACUCCUGGCCCUGGACAGGAAGAAAAAGGCAGCUCCAGGACCACAGGAAAUGGCCCAAAAGGGCCAGGGAUGUGUCAGGUGUCCACAGCUCUGCAGACGGGAGAUCCCCUGACCUGCAGGGCCCUUCUCUUCCUCCUUAUUCCUCUUGCCGCUCCCUCUCGCGUGGCAGUUCCUUCCAAAAAUGAUGGAUGCCCCUUCCCCUCAUGCUCUUCCCGCUCACACAGGCUCACAACCCCCUCUCAGGCCACCUAAACACGACCAGGAGCUCUUGAUCCAAUGUAUGUAACUUCUGUUGUCUUUACAUAAAACAAGUGUUGACGCACAAUGUCCUUCCUCGAAGCCCAAGCUGCCGGUUCCUGGUUGUUCCUUCUCUGGUGCUGCCCACUGCAGACUGCAAAAAAAUGAAAUUUGAAGCCAUUAAAAAAAAAAAAAUACCACGCCCCUAAUUUACAUCAGAGAGAGCUAUUCUGAGACUACCACCUCUCCCUGUGUUGGUCUGUGCUCCUCUUUUCCUGUCUCCUCGUCAUCUGGAGCACGUUCCCAGGUCUGACUGAGCUUUGGGAAAGGUCACCAGGCUGCUGGCAAGGCUGGUCACCCCAGGUGAGGUCUGUAGUUGGGGUUCCUCAGCCUCCAGCGUUGCCUCUCUCCAGGUUAAAAUCCUGCUGCCUCACUUGUCUCUUCUUGCCCCCCAGCCCAAAGGAGACCCAGGGAAUUAAUGUUCACGCUCCUGGGUGAGGCCCAGAACAGGGUGGGUGUAGGGGCACUGCUUGCCACCCCAAGCCUGCCUCUCCAUCCUGCUUCCCAGCGAGCUGCUUCCAGACCAUGAGCAACAUCCUCUCUGUGACUGUCCCACCUGUCACCUCCUGCCCUUUCACUAACAUGGUAGCUAGUGCUGCUGCAAUGAUACAGCUUGUCCCCCACCUCUGAAAUGACCAUCUCUGAGUUAAACAGACGCCGUACACUUCCCCCUCAGGCUUUUCUUUCAGGCUGUCUUCAGGUGGUCCUCCAGCGUGUGGUUUCACAUUUGGCUGCUUUUUUUUGUUUGUUUUCCUGGCAGCCACAAAGGUGAGUUUUCUUUUCCUGAGCUAUUUUUCUAUCCCUGAGAUACUGAAAUUCUGGAUCAGCCAGGGAAGUUGUGUGAGCUCGCCACACGACGCUUGCUCAAAGGCUUCCUUGUCUGAGUAGAUUGGAACAUGAUUGUCUUACGUCUUAAUGGCCUUUUCUGUCCCAGUGCUAAGCUGAGUGAUACAUUUAAAGAAUCCUUCCUGGACUUUGGGGGAAGUAAUAAAAUUGCCAAUAAAGAAGCUCUUAAAAUA